rnacentral:lncRNA from 1 species
AAUUGACUUAUAGUGUCGAAAUGUUCGCUGGAAUGACGUUGUUAAGAUUCAACAUUCCAAUCUACCAACAAUGGAGCAACUCUAUGUUUUCUAGCUACUAUAGGAUGCAAUUCUCGCACAGGUUGAGCAGCCAUUUAAUUACUGUAACACCCCGCUCAUCUUUGUGCUUAAUUGAUUUGGAAAAUCCUAUUUAUUAGGGCCUUUGGCUGCAUUGAACUUAUUUAAUUUUCUUUGCAUAAUAUUUAUCAUAAUUUGUAAAAAUUUAGUUAAUUUUUAAUUAUUUUGUUUUUAUUUAAUUUUAAUUUUAUUUAACUUAUUUAAAUUAAUUUUAAAAAAUUGAGAGAAACAAGAAAAAUGGCAAAACGAGAAGAAAUCUCGCGGGAAGUAGAGCAGCUUGCGUGGAUGUUGGGCACUGUGCGUACGUGCGCGUGCACACAGCAGCCACAGGACAUGCGCAGAGCGCGCAUCUCCCGUCCACACACGUAGGAGGUCGCACAACGCGCACAUCCCCUCUGCGCGCAUGGUGAUGGGACAGGUCCUGCGCGUGUCUUGUCGCACGCAGGCUGGCCAUUCGUGCGACACCUUGCGUGCAGACAGACCUCGUACACUAUGCACGUGUCGUCCGCGUAACAGGGCUGCGCAGAUAGGCCUUGAGCACCAGUAGGCUGCACACGAGUAGGCUAGCUCCUACGCGCGUGCCGGCAAGGGCACUGUCACCUCGGACUAUGAGCUAUUGUCGCCUCGAGCAGUGCACCGUCGCCACCUAUGGAGGAGACCUAG